rnacentral:lncRNA from 1 species
ACAGGUUGCCCCAUAGUGACCCUGGAGACUCCCGCCUGCCCCCAGUGAAGGAAUUGGUUACUCUCCCAGAGCCCUCCCGGGCAUCGCCCCCUUCCUCACUUCCUCCUCUUCCUGCCGCCAGCCUCUACCCCUCCAGCCUCCUGUGGCUUCACAGGCAAGUGCCCCAUCCCAGGAAGAAGGAGUUGGAGCUCCGUGAUGCCAUUCAAAAACAGAUGAGAUGGGGACAGAUUUAACCCAAAGGACAUAGUUCAACUCCUGGUCUUGACAGAGGAGAAGCCCUCAAAGCCUCUCUCAAUUGCCUUCUCAGCUUGUAUGCUUUGAAGAAGCAAGCUGCAGUGUUGGAGAGGCCCAUGUGGCAAGGAAAUGAGGGUGGCCUCCAGUCAAUGGCUGGUGAGAAACUGAGACCUUCCUUCCAACAAUUGUCAAGUAACUGAAUACUCCCAACAAUCAUAUGGGUUAGGUUAGAAGUGAACCUUUCUCUAGUUGAGGUUUCAGAUAAGACCACAGAUAUUAUACUAA